GCCUGACGUGGGGCUUGAAUUCCCAAGCUGUGAGAUCAUGACCUGAGCUGAAGUCAGACGCUGAAUCGACUGAGCCACCCAGGCACCCCAGGUUACCUUGUAUUUCAUGCUCCGUCUGAGCCAGUGCUUUCCUUGAUGCUUCCCCUGACCUCCAGCACAUCUGGUCAGCUUAGUCACCAGUCUGACCGUGUGCCAGGCCCUGUGCUAUGUCCCGGAGAUCUAGAAAUGAACAGGGACUCCCUCUGCCCUGGGGAAGCCGGCUGCCCGGGUGGGAGGAGAGGCUCAGAGACUAACACGGGAUGCUUGUGCCAAGGCAGAAUGUGCCGGGGGCCUUGGAGUUCACAGAGGGAACCUCUCAUCUUCUGUAGGAGAGCGAUUAGCAGCUCUGGAACUCAGACAGCCAGGGUUUUGCUCCAGACCAGUCAAAUGUAGAGGGUCUGAUAUUUGGGGGGGAAAUGAUUUUAGAUUUUGUAAGUAAAAAAUGUUGCUACAUUUACCUGAUGAUAGGACAUUCCUUCUAUGUGGCAGGAUGCCUGAUAAGAAGAGCGAUGAUUUAAAAUAGGAAGCUUCCAGAUACAUAUUUAAUGAUAUCUUCCUCCCCACUUCCUCCCUCGCCGUAUCGGGAACAACCAAGUCAAUCUUUGUCCUUGCCGUGGGCGUUACGAUUGCCAGUGACAGUUCGGGUAAGAGUGAACCCAGGAACAGGUGCUGCUUGAGCUGAGUCUUGAUGGGUGAAUGGGACUUUGCCAGCUGGAGGGGUUGGGGAGGUGGAGGGAGUUCUGGGUGAGGGAUGGAGGUGUGAAGGUACCCCCCAUUUCCAGAAGAAUAAACAUGGUUUGGCUGGGCAAAGGUUUAAGGGAGAAAGGGCAAGAGAUGGUCCUCAAAUGGUAGGUGGGGCCGGAUCCAGGGGGCUUUAAUACCGCCCGAAGGGGGUCGUGGUUUCCCACCUUCAGGCCUUUGCUCAUCAUAGACUAUGAGCCCCUCAGAAGCAAGGCUAGGACUGGGGUAAGCAAGUGGUGUGCCAAGGGAGCAACGUGUAAGGAGGCACUCACUUUCAGAGUUGUGCCAGAGCAGGGCUGGCCCCCUGAGGUGAACACGUCCUUUGUGCACUCUCGGUGCUUUCCUUUCCUCCCCCUAGACCCAGUGCUGCUCAGGAGAGAGGUCACAUUGUGUAAAUCUUUGUACCCCUAGGACCUAGGACAGUGCCUGACCAUAGUAGCAGACUAAUAAACGCUUAAUUGAAUGAAUGAAUGAAUGAAUGAAUGAGUGGUGUUUUUUGGUUUUGUUUUUGUUUUUUUCUGUCUGGAAUGUGUUUGCCCUCCUCAUGGCCAGUCAAGGUGUGUCAUUUCUUUUGUGGCUUACUUCUUCCCUGCGGCCCCUCCAGAUACACCUCCCCUGAGUCCUCAGCUCUUACAUUGUGUCAACGUCCCAUCUCCCAACCAGAUUGUGUGGCUGUGCUUGGAAGAAGAGGUAACCACAGUGGGUGCUUACACUGGAGGCUGAUCAAAUCUCAGAAUCUUCCCUGGGCAGGCUCAGUAGUUCUAGAAUAUCCUGGCCCCUUGGACGGGAAGGACCAGCCACCACUGCCACUGUUGCUGCUGUCGCUGCUGUGUAGGGUCUCCUUCCCCUCUCCUUCCCUCCUCUUUAUGGGGCCAGACUCAGAAAAGCUUCUGGAGGUGGUGUCUCCAAACUGCUCCUCCACAGUACUACCCACUUACCCAGCCUGCUUCCUCUGCUCAGCCCCUUUGGACCACGGCCAGCUGAUCACUGCUCACGCAAUUACGAAGGCCCCAGAGGUCUUUUGAGACACCCACGCCUCCCUGCCCUUCUGACUGAUGGGACUCCUCACCAGGUGCGGAACCCAUUGGCUCUUGGCUGAGAAAUGAGGUUAAACCUGGACACUGCUGGGAUAUGGAAGCUGGGGGAUGAUUAAUGAUACUACUCAGGAAGGGUUGAGACAUUUGCAUUUCUGUCCAGCAGAGGAUCUAUUUCAAUCAGGAAGUUACUCUUGCUGCCCAAAGAAGCAGAAUAGUCCCCUCCCACGCUCACUUACUGCUGAAGGGAGGAUGGUCACGCAGCAUCAUGUGGGCAGUGCAAUCACAGAGCGCCCAGGCGGGAGAGCUGAGCUGCACCGACGCGCCCAGAAGGGGGCCACUGCCCCUCAUCCAUGAGAGCUGGUAUCCUGAGAACAAUAGCCCUGAGUGCACCGACCUCUGAGGAACACUGUUGCGAAAGAAUCAGUGUUCAGUCCAAGUUCAAGAACAUUUCCAGAUGUUACGGAUACCUGGGCCAGGUGGCCCUUACCUGACGUAGAAAGCCAAGAUUCUGGAGCCCAGAAAGGCAGGCCAGGAGUGGGAAGAGCAGGCCCAGGAUGGAUUUUCUGUCAUCACUGCUCGGGGUCUAGGAGCUGGAGCAGUGUGGCAUCCCUACCCGGCCCGGCAGCUGAAGACGGGGGAAACUGAGGCCCAGAGAGGUUCUAGAACUGCCAGAAAGCGCUGGAUCCAGGAUACAGAACAUUAGCUAAAGCUGAGCUACGGCAGACCUCGGUUUCCUUGUACCUAAAAGUGGACCAGCCUUUGUUACAGCCACAGCCCAGGCUGCAGCAAAAGCUUAAAUGGAAUCGUGAGUUCUGCCAUGUACUCUGCUUCAGAAGUUCCGGGGAGCAGAGGACACUCGAGGUCGCAUCCUCAGUGUGGCCUGGAUCCUUCUCCCCUUUUGUUCUCCUGGAGAACGUCUUGCAGUAUAGCUGAUCCUGGAUGUCGGAGAGGUCGCGUGUGACUCUGAGCAGUAUGUCUGGCGUGGAGGCGUAAGAGAGGCCUGAUGCCCACGGAGGAUUUCACGUGUUAACAGGAUGGCCCUGUAUACAGAAGCAACCAAGGGCGCCAGCACGGGGACACCAGCACCGGAUAGCACCUCGUAAGGACAAGACACUGAAUUUCUCCUUUGCCCUCUCAUGGAAGUCAUCUGCGAUCCCUCCGGGGGUGAGUAUUAUGUGUGCCCUGAGAUGGUCCCUGAGGGCGGCCAUAUGGACCCGCGUGCUGCCAGGCUGGCUGUGUGCCCCAGAUCCUGAGCUGUCGGUGGAGAUAGGGGUCGAGCCCAGAGACCCCAGCCAGAAUUACUUUGGCACGUGUUUUCAUUUCUACCUGAACUUUGAGAAGCACGGACAUUCCCCAAAAUCCAUUUUCCUCGUUUGCUGGGGCAGACACCGCUCGUUUAUGGCCCUGGGAAGGAAGACAUCACACCUCAAGUGCCAUUCCGAUCCCAGAAUGUCAUCAGGACCACCCCUGCGCUGAGACUUUUCACCUGCAACACUGAGGCUCAGAGAGGGCACGUGAGGGCCCCAUAGCCACACAGCAAACAGAAGGAAAGUAACUGCUGAAGACGCCCCCAGGGACCCAGCCGGAGGCCCCAGUCCAGCAGGGGCAGAGAGCCCGGGGUGGAAAGGGCCAGAGAGCAGGGGAGGGGCAGAGAGAGAAAAACACACAGAAUCCGAAGCAGGC